rnacentral:rRNA from 1 species
AGUGGCGAACGGGUGAGUAACACGUGAGUAACCUGCCCUUGACUCUGGGAUAACUGCUAGAAAUGGUAGCUAAUACCGGAUACGACCCUCGGCGGCAUCGCCAGGGGGUGGAAAGAAUUUCGGUCAAGGAUGGACUCGCGGCCUAUCAGCUAGUUGGUGAGGUAACGGCUCACCAAGGCGACGACGGGUAGCCGGCCUGAGAGGGUGACCGGCCACACUGGGACUGAAACACGGCCCAGACUCCUACGGGAGGCAGCAGUGGGGAAUAUUGCACAAUGGGCGCAAGCCUGAUGCAGCAACGCCGCGUGAGGGAUGACGGCCUUCGGGUUGUAAACCUCUUUUAGUAGGGAAGAAGCGAAAGUGACGGUACCUGCAGAAAAAGCACCGGCUAACUACGUGCCAGCAGCCGCGGUAAUACGUAGGGUGCAAGCGUUGUCCGGAAUUAUUGGGCGUAAAGAGCUCGUAGGCGGUUUGUCGCGUCUGCUGUGAAAUCCCGAGGCUCAACCUCGGGCCUGCAGUGGGUACGGGCAAACUAGAGUGUGGUAGGGGAGAUUGGAACUCCUGGUGUAGCGGUGGAAUGCGCAGAUAUCAGGAAGAACACCGAUGGCGAAGGCAGAUCUCUGGGCCAUUACUGACGCUGAGGAGCGAAAGCGUGGGGAGCGAACAGGAUUAGAUACCCUGGUAGUCCACGCCGUAAACG